AACUAAUAAAAAUGUGUGUGUGUGUGUGUGUGUGUGUGUGUGUGUAUACACACACACACAUUUUUAUUAGUUUU